rnacentral:lncRNA from 1 species
ACCUACAUACUUGUCUUGAUGUCACACACACCAAUGACUCGAGACUAGUCACUCUCCCUGAGAGAAGACAUAGCACGUAUUGAUCUUAACGGACUGUCAAUGCCCAAUUGGCAAUCCUAUGAUUAGGAAUGUUUAGGAUGUGUCUACGAAAGAAUGGUCUCAUGAAUCUAACUUCUUUAGAUUGCAUUCUCCCAAUCAUAUAUUCCUUAGACUUAUCAUUUAAGCGUAUAACAUUUAUAUGAGACAGCUCAAACAAUAAUCUUUGCCCUUGAUAUUAAACUAGAUUAGUUUAACAUGUGAAAUGUCCGUAAAGUAUUAUCAUAUGAUUGGUUUUAGGGCACAUUUCCAACAGCAGAUUCGAUCCCAACACAGCCUUGUCGAUCUGUACACAAAGUCACUGCCUAUGUCUACCUGUUAGAAGCAUACCAAGGUAUUGGAUUGUGUGACCUAUCUCAUUUCCCACACCUGUAGUUCUCAAAGAGAGUUUUGUCAAACUCAGGGGGAACAUCUUGAAGUAUACUCACUUGGCCAUAAUAUACCUUUUUCCCUUAGAUUAUGAGCAUUUUUCCUACUAGGUUUUUGCUAACCGGACAAGGUUUGAACGAGACACCCAAUUUGUGUUGGUCAAACCCUUGUAUGUGUUUUCAACUACUUGAUGCAUCUUGAAGAUGUCAAGUAUCGACAUCGCAUUAACUCACCUUUUUUCUCCUUAGACUAUGGGUUUGUCCCACUGUGUUUACCGUAGCCAAGUUUGUUGGAAAUGUGCCCUAAAGCCAAUCAUAUGAUGAUACUUUACGGACAUUUCACAUGUUAAACUAAUCUAAGUUUAAUAUCAAGGGCAAAGAUUAUUGUUUGAGGAAUAUGUGAUUGGGAGAAUACGAUAAAGUCCAAGGAAUAUGUGAUUGGGAGAAUACGAUCUAAAGAAGUUAGAUUCAUGAGACCAUUCUUUAGUAGACACAUCCUAAAUGUUCCUGAUCAUAGGAUUGCCAAUUGGGCAUUGACAGUCCGUUAAGAUCAAUACGUACUGUGUCUUCUCUCAGGGAGAGUGACUAGUCUCGAGUCAUUGGUGUGUGUGACAUCAAGUCAAGUAUGUAGGUGCUCAAUAGAGAAUGAGUUCACUGAACACAAUCAACGAAGAGUUCUCAUAUUCAUGUCACAUGAGAACUCAUGGUUGGGAUAAUGCAAAGUAGUCCUUUGACCUGAGGCAUCACAGUUGUCUUGUGGUUAAGUACUUGAUCUUUGAUUAUGUCAAAGUCACCCCAUCGGGGUGUCCACGGCGUCAUUGGGGUUAAGCCACUUAGUCAUGGAGACAAGUGAAUGCGCAACAAGGGAUCUCUAACCUUCAAACCGUUGGGGGAGAAUACUCUAUGAUAUGAUUUAGAAUCUCUGGUCAGAGUAUGAAUGAGAUUUAGAAAAGUCGUUCUAAAUCACAUUCACGGUAAACAUUUAAGCACACGAAUCACAUUGGAUAGUAGACAUGAAUAAAUAAACUAUCAAACCAAACAAUGUGGUCAAGAGUAUUGUAUUAGAGAAAGACCGUAUUGCAUUUGUAAUCCCAAACUGAAUAGGUUCUUCACCUCUUCUGAUUAGCUUGGGUAACCAUGAUAUGCUGCUAGGUGUCACUCAUGGUUUGUGGAAGCCCUAAACGUGUGUAAUCACUAAAGGGAGAAUUGAAAGUAAGUUUCAAUUCACAAUCGAUUUGAAAGAGUUCUAAUCGCCCACUGCCUCGCUAAAAGGAACCUAAUGGAUCGUACACCGUGUAAGGUGAAGAUUGAAGAAACAAUGGAGAUGAGUAAGAAUGAUUAAAUGGUUUAAUUAUUUAUUUAUGGCAAGGAUUAAUUAAUAUGUUAAUUAGUCAAACGAAUAAAGUUCGUUAAAAGACCACGGGUUAGUUUUGGGCCUCAAGGCCCAAUGGGCUUCGAACGUCAAGUCCAUUGACUUAAGUUGUAUGACAACUUAAUUCACAAAGGCCCAAAAGCCCAAACAAAACCCCAUGGCCGGCCAUUUAGAGGAAGGGUAGUGAACUUCUUUUAAUUACAAGUUUGCCACUCAAAUGAAUAAAGGUAUAAAUAUGACUUUAUAGCCAAAAUUCAUUUAGGGUUUGUUUUUGAGAAAAUUGGAGAGAACAUGUCUCUCCAUUUCUCUCUAAAGAGGCCGGCCCCUUGGAGGGUGUAUCUAGCCAUACUAACUACUCCAAGGUCACUCAUUUUCUUCUCCAAUCUCUCCUUGGUGUGGAGACUUAGAGGUUCUCAAUUUUGGGAACUUGGAGAAACCUUUUCAUCCAUCCAAAUCCAUAGAUUUUAGAUGCAACGAAUGAAGGCCCUCUCUUUGGGUGAUUAGCCUUUGCUUAUGCAAAGAGGAAUCUACAAAGGUAUAUAUUUCUCAACUCACUUUGAUUUGAGUUGAGUCUUGGUUCACCAAUCUACUAGGCUUUGAAUUUCAUGGUUAAUGUUUUGUUUUUAAGUGCAUGCAAGCAUGAUUCCGCCUUUAAUUGUUAAUUGCAUGCUUAUUGAUGUUGCUUAAAUAAACAUGUUUUCACAAAAUAUUCCUUCAAGUGGUAUUAGAGCCUAGGUCUAGUAGUUGGUGAAUCCUUUUGGGUUUUGUAGUUCAUAGUUUUGAUUUAAAAGUUGUAAUAUGUUACAAGCUUUAUUCUUGUUUCUUUGAAUGUAAAUUUUGUUAGAAAAUUUUCCAUCUCAAAUGUUGUAGAUGUAGUUCAUAUGAGCAUGAAUAUUGGAGCUAAAAUUUGGUGCCAUGCUUUUGGGAAAAUUCGGCCAAAUACAUAGGGUGAUUUUUUGGGUUCUUGUUUGACUUGUUAAAAGUGUUUUAAAGUGACUUUUGGAACUCCUAUGUACCCUAGUUUGGUUAGAUGUUAUUUCCCUAAAGUUUGAAUGGUUUUGGAAUGUUUUUGGGUGAAAAAUGUUCAUGGAAAAAUUUUGGGUUUUUCAUGAGUGUUCUUCAUUGUUCUUGACAUUUUUGCCAAGAACAUAAAGUUUUGUGUUUUGAUUCAAAGUUUUGAUUUAUUUCAUAAAGUUUAUGUUUUAUGAAUUUUCAAAUGUUUAAAUGUUUUAGAUAUUUGUUUAAAUGGUGUAAGAAAUAUUGGUGGGUGUGUAAGGAUUAAUUUCCUUUCACACACACCACUUGCACCACUUGAUUGCUUUAUGUCAAAACUCACAAAUCAACACACACAUCACUCCAUUUCUUCUUCCAAAACCGGCCACCCCCUAGUGGGGGUACUUUUGGGGCCUUUUAUGCAAUUACAUAAAGUUUUGAUACUUUUGUGUAUUUGCACUUUGGCCCAAAAGUUUACGUUUUUACGUAUAGGUCCAAAAACGCUAAAGGACAAAUUGUUUUGCUCCUUUAAUGAAGUUUUUACAUUGUUUAAAUUUUGGGUUCUAGUGUAAUUACAUGAAGUAGUGGACUUUUGUGUUCUUACAAAGUGACCCCAAAAGUUUAUGUUUUUGCAAUAUAGCCCAAUGUUGUGGUAAUUGCAUUUUGGCCCAAAUUAGGUAGAGAACAAAAUGGUUUUGUCUCUUUAAAUGAGAAUUGGAUUUUCAUUUCAUUUAGCUCCAUUUAAAUCAAUUUUAUGGAUACAAAAACCAAAUGAAAAUGUUGCAUUCAAUUUAAUUAGUUAAAGUGUUAAUUAAUUAAAGGGUGAUUAUGAACCUAAGCCUAAUAUAAUUGAGCUAUGUGAUAGGCCGUUUCAAAUUUGUUUGAACCAUGGGAAUGUGUAGAUUAGAUUUUAAUUGUAAUUUGAUUUGAUCAAAUGUUGUAAAAGGGCUUAAGCUCUUCUUUACUUUAAAGUAAUUUGUUUUAUGCCCCAAUGUUGUAAUGAGCAUAAGCUCACCUUUACUUUGAAGUACUUCUUUCUUGCUUUAUUUGAUAUGCAUGAAAAUGGAGUAGAGGGUCCAACGCCCCUAAGACAACACGCCUUAAUGUGAUUAAACACGUAACUAAAAUCAAUCACCAUCCCUAGACCGAGAUUCAACACAAGGCUCGUGUUGAAUCUAAACAAAGGUUCAUAGUCAUCCUAAGGCCCUAAGGCAACUAUAUAGUCCAUCAAAUGAAUGCAAAGGUUAUGUUAGUAGUAUCAUAUACUCUUGCUUUAAAAACCGUUUUAUAAGCAUAGUGGGAGUAUUAUAUACAACUAAAAACAAUCAUAUGGACCAAUAGUUGUAAUAGGACCAAAAUUGUUUUAAUAAAGAUUAAAAUGAAUAUUUAUAUGUGAUGAGACCUAAAACCCUCAACCAAACCAUUAUUAAGUUGAUAAGCGUGAGAGUGCUUUGAACACUCUUUCGUGGCCUUCCACCGUGGUAGGCUCCGAUCGUAUGUGACUCGUACACCGGCUUCACCCUAUAAUGGGGGAGUACAAAGUGCGUGCUUACACUCAGGAGGAGUUCUAUACACAUACAUGAUGAAGUGAGGUAGGCAACGAGUUUAGCCAACAUGAUAUAAUUCUGAGGCUAUGCUUGAACCCCUACACGAACUAGGCAUGGUGGGAAUGACUUAACUAAGUGCAAUGACACCAACAUGAUAUAAUUCUGAGGCAUCAUUCUCUAGAGGCCAAAUUAGAUGGGUACUUGCAAGAGAUGCAAAUGAAUAAGCGUACUCUCUCAUUAUUAUUAACGCUAGCCAACAUGAUAUAAUUCUAAGGUGGGCUUGGUAGUAGUGAGUCUCCCAUAACCCUACUAAGAGUUUCCUCCAAAACUCUCGAAUUCCAAUGAGGGAUAUGGAAUUUGCCAAAAAUAGUGGGUGGUGCUAUUUGAUUUAAAGACCCGAAUCAAAUGGCUUAAAAUCAAUCAAUUUAUAUUCGUUAUGUAUUUGUUUACCAAUAUAUUUGCAAACGCUAUCCAACACUUGACAAAUAAAAGCCGAAAGCUUUAGUUUCCGUACUUGGUACUACAAAACCAUAGAUUGUCCUUAAUGGCUUGUAAAUUUACCUAAGUAGUCUCAUCCUCACAAUCUUCCUAUUGAUAAUGUAUCAUUAGAAGAAUAUGUUAGAAAAGGUCUAUCAUAAAGAGGACAACACUUUUAAUGUCAUAAUUCUUCAAUUACAAAAUGUUGUAUAAAGAAAUAAGAGUUGUUUUGAACAACCCUUAAUCAAUGCAAACAUUAGUGCUUGUUUCUUUGUAACAUGAACAAGGAACUUUAGAAGAAAGCACAAAGGCAUGAACACUUAAUGUGCCAUGAUUCUUCACUUACAAAUUGUUGUAUGAAGAAAUGAGAGUUGCCUUGUGCAACUCUUGAAAGUUUGUAAUUAUGUUUAGAACAUAAUGGUUGGUUGACAAAAAUAGUCCAUCAACAUGGACUUAUGAUGAUUUUGAAUUAUUGAGUGUUGAAGUGAUAAACCACUUAACGAGACGAAAACUAGGCAAGGACUUCACCUUUGUUUCCCUAUCCUUAUAGUUCACUAAGUUUAUUGUAAACUAUGUAGUGAACAAUAAACCACAUGCUCUCCAAAAUGUUUGAUGUGUAUAACACAAUUGAAAUAAGUUUCAAGAGAGAUGGUGGGAGUUUAGGGACCAUGACUAUUGUAGUCAAAGGUGAAAGUCAAAUGAAGAAGAUAAAAUAACUCCAAGAGAACAAACUUUCUUUAUGAAAGGAUGGACAUUGGAAGGGGUAUUUGCAAGAAAUGUCUUGCAAGUGUCAAAAACACACCUUUCAAAGGUGUUGUAAAUUGUUCUUGAAUAGUUCAAAACAGUUGGUUCUUCUACUUGAAUGCUUGAUUCCGUAUUAGUAACUAUGUUUUACAAUCGUUGUAAAAGUGUGACUAAUAAGAAGUAGAAGAUAUAUGAGAGAAGAAAAGGUACUUCACAUUCGGAACGUGAAUAAAAUAUAGAUCUCUGCGAAGGCAGAUAGUACUUACUUCCUCAUAUGAACUACCAAAGAAAUUGGAAAAACCAAAGAUUGUCUUUACAUUCCAAUUUUAAGGAAUUUAAUUCCGUCACUAUAGUAGAGAUGGAUGAAUGUUUUGUUUGACAAAACAUUGUUCUUUAUUAAUCAAUGAUUGGAUUAUAGUAAUCUAAUUGAUUGUCUCUAUAGUAGAGAUGAUAUGGUAGUGUUAACUGUUUAGAAUAUAAUGAUGCUUAAAACCCAAAAGGUUGCAAGGUAGUGACUAAUCCCAACUAAGUUGUGAUACCUCUAAAAACAUAAGUUACGAGUUGGUGAAAGAUGGAUGCUUUGGAUCGUUAGAUCUGGAUCCAAUACCUUCUUGUUAAAAUUGUAUAGAGGCGAAAUGUUCGAAUCUUUAUUCUUUUGGAAAGAAGAAAGAAUCACAAAGUUGUUGAGGUUAAUUCACUUAGAUGUUAGUGGCACUUGUCCACAACAUAAUACUACUCAUGUUAUAUGACAUUCACCGAAGAUCACUCUCGGUAGGACUAUAGUUUGUUUUGAAUAAACACAAGUCCGAAUACUUUGUAAAAUGUUUCAAAGAAUUCAAGAAAUGUAAGUUGAUGAGUAAGACAUCUAAAGUAAUUACCUCCUUAGAUUUGAUCCAAGGAAAAGUAACACUUUAGAUGAGUUUCCUUGAUAGAUAUCAAGGAAAAUAGCAUCAUAAGAUAAUGAAUUUCUCCAUUAGGAGAAGAACGAACUCGAAUAAGAUUUGGUUCGUUAGAAGUUAUCUAUUACCCAUAUAUAGGAUAUAUAUACUUCUAAAACAAUAUGAUUGUCAAUUAGAAGAUCUUCCAAAAUUUUCAUAACUCCAUAAGAUGUAGUUGGAAAGAAAGACAAAUCUUAAGCAUGUUAAGAUUUGGGGUUGUGUGCUAAAAGCAAUAUUUGUUUGAUAACAAUCUUGUGGGAUAUCCUUAAAUUAACUUUUGGAUAUCACUUCUAUAAACCAACUAACAAAUGUUGUUUUGUUGGGUAGUUCAUUGUAAUCCUACAAUGUGAUUUGCCUAAGAGCAAAUGAACGAGAGAUAGAACUCAAAAGAAUAGGUUCUUUGUGAGACAAGAAAGUAAUCAACAAAUAUAACAACCUAGUUCCUAUACCAAAAGCUCCAAGGUAGUCGAGAAGGAUUUAUAAACCGUCUCAGUUGAAUGGUUUGAACUUUAUGACUAUGUCAUAGAGUUACACCUCUUAAUUCGAAAGAAAUAAGAAUGAAAAUCCUUAUGACUACAUUGAGUGUAUAUAUAUGAUAUAUACUUAAGGAAAUUGUAAAGUACCAUUUGACCCGAAAUGAUGAAACCUUAAAUAGCUAAUUGGUAGCUUAAGGUGACUACAAUCAAAGAGAAUGGUUGACUUUGAAGAAACCAUCUUUGAGAUAGUCUUGGUUUCAAUUAAUUCGAAGAUUGCUAGCUACAACUAAAUGGUGAUUCAAUGUUUGGACAUAAUAUGAGUUUCCGAAAUCAUUAUUAAGAUAGUCUUGAUAAUAUAUGUCUAAAACUAUAAAUCACAAGACAUGUAAGUUGUAGAGAUCCAUCCAUCAUGAAUCUAAGCAAGCUAGUGGGAGCUAUGAGCAUCUUAUGAGAAAAGGAUCAAAUCGUUUGAUUUCUCGUAAAGAUGUAAAUGAAUCUUUUGUUUACUAGGUUUACAAAAGAUUAGUGGGAGUUAAUCAUGUUCCUAAGAUUUAAAUAUAUAUGAUAUAUUAAUUUUGGAAAUGAAAAGAAUACUUCUUCAUUAAAGUUACAACUUUAAAACAUUAUAUGAAGAUAGAAUGUAUAAGGGAGUUAAUCAUGUUCCUAAAAUUUAAAUAUACAUGAUAUAUUAAUUUUGGAAAUGAAAAGAAUACUUCUUCUUUAAAGUUAUGACUUUAAAACAUUAUAUGAAGAUAGAAUGUAUAUGGGAGAUAUAGUCUAUAUACAUGGGAUGGAAAUCUAUAAUGAUAUAUUUCUUGAUAUAAUUGGAUUAUAUCAAUCCCUAAUAAUAGACAAUAGAUGCUAGGAAGUUUCUCAUAUGAUGAUAAACUUCAAUUAGAAGGACAACUCUAGUGAGACUAAGAAGUUGCUCUUCUCAAAGAGAACGUACUCUUUGACUCCCAAAGAAAUAAUGCGUAAAUAGAAUCCUUUAUGCAUACGCAUAAAGGUGAUUUAUGUAUUUCAUAUUUUAUGAAAAACAUUGAUAUGAGUUGUACCUAGAACGGUACAAGACGAUAACAGUGCAAGCCCAGGAUCAGAACCAUGGCAACCGUCAAGUGAGUCCUUAAGUAUUUAAGAAAUACUAAAGGAUAGAUUCCUCAAAGAAUGAGGAAGAAUUAGAGUAACGUAAAGGAAGCGUAAAUGUAUUAGAUUAUGAAUCUAAUCCAUCAUUGGAUGUUUCUUCAUUAUGAAUGAAGAGAUAAUUAGAUAUCUCUUUAUUAUGACUAAAGAGAUAUUUGGAUGGAAACAUUAAAAGUAAUGACUUUAGUGUGUUCCAUUAUGAAUGCAAAAUAUAUUGCCAUAUAGAAGCUUACAACAAUGUUGUUUGGAUGGGAAAGUUCAUUUAUGAACUCUCUAUUCGGUUCCAACCAGAAAGUGUAUCUAGUGUACUGACACUAUGACACUAAUGGGGCGAUAGCUCAAGACUGGGAAUCAAGGUCUCAUCAAGAUCUGAACUCAUAUGAGAGACUGAACCACAUGAUUGAGAAUCAUGUAUAAUGGUGACGUCGUUAUUCUCAAGGUUGCUUCUAUGGAUAACAUAUAGAUAUCCAUUGUCUAGGCCUACUAUUCAGCCAUUUAUGAAAUGACUACAUAAGAGGUAUCAUCACUGAUGAUCAAGCUGAUUGGCUCUAGUGCAAGUGGGAGAUUGUUGGAAAUGUGCCCUAAAGCCAAUCAUAUGAUGAUACUUUACGGACAUUUCACAUGUUAAACUAAUCUAAGUUUAAUAUCAAGGGCAAAGAUUAUUGUUUGAGCCGUCUCAUAUAAAUGUUAUAUGCUUAAAAGAUAAAGUCCAAGGAAUAUGUGAUUGGGAGAAUACGAUCUAAAGAAGUUAGAUUCAUGAGACCAUUCUUUCGUAGACACAUCCUAAAUGUUCCUGAUCAUAGGAUUGCCAAUUGGGCAUUGACAGUCCGUUAAGAUCAGUACGUACUGUGUCUUCUCUCAGGGAGAGUGACUAGUCUCGAGUCAUUGGUGUGUGUGACAUCAAGUCAAGUAUGUAGGUGCUCAAUAGAGAAUGAGUUCAAUGAACACGAUCAACGAAGAGUUCUCAUAUUCAUGUCACAUGAGAACUCAUGGUUGGGAUAAUGCAAAGUAGUCCUUUGACCUGAGGCAUCACAGUUGUCUUGUGGUUAAGUACUUGAUCUUUGAUUAUGUCAAAGUCACCCCAUCGGGGUGUCCACGGCAUCAUUGGGGUUAAGCCACUUAGUCAUGGAGACAAGUGAAUGCGCAACAAGGGAUCUCUAACCUUCAAACCGUUGGGGGAGAAUACUCUAUGAUAUGAUUUAGAAUCUCUGGCCAGAGUAUGAAUGAGAUUUAGAAAAGUCGUUCUAAAUCACAUUCAAGGUAAUCAUAUAAGCACACGAAUCACAUUGGAUAGUAGACAUGAAUAAAUAAACUAUCAAACCAAACAAUGUGGUCAAGAGUAUUGUAUUAGAGAAAGACCGUAUUGCAUUUGUAAUCCCAAACUGAAUAGGUUCUUCACCUCUUCUGAUUAGCUUGGGUAACCAUGAUAUGCUGCUAGGUGUCACUCAUGGUUUGUGGAAGCCCUAAACGUGUGUAAUCACUAAAGGGAGAAUUGAAAGUAAGUUUCAAUUCACAAUCGAUUUGAAAGAGUUCUAAUCGCCCACUGCCUCGCUAAAAGGAACCUAAUGGAUCGUACACCGUGUAAGGUGGAGAUUGAAGAAACAAUGGAGAUGAGUAAGAAUGAUUAAAUGGUUUGAUUAUUUAUUUAUGGCAAGGAUGAAUUAAUAUGUUAAUUAGUCAAACGAAUAAAGUUCGUUAAAAGACCACGGGUUAGUUUUGGGCCUCAAGGCCCAAUGGGCUUCGAACGUCAAGUCCAUUGACUUAAGUUGUAUGACAACUUAAUUCACAAAGGCCCAAAAGCCCAAACAAAACCCCAUGACCGGCCAUUUAGAGGAAGGGUAGUGAACUUCCUUUAAUUACAAGUUUGCCACUCAAAUGAAUAAAGGUAUAAAAUAUGACUUUAUAGCCAAAAUUCAUUUAGGGUUUGUUUUUUGAGAAAAUUGGAGAGAACAUGUCUCUCCAUUUCUCUCUAAAGAGGCCGGCCCCUUGGAGGGUGUAUCUAGCCAUACUAACUACUCCAAGGUCACUCAUUUUCUUCUCCAAUCUCUCCUUGGUGUGGAGACUUAGAGGUUCUCAAUUUUGGGAACUUGGAGAAACCUUUUCAUUAUCCAUCCAAAUCCAUAGAUUUUAGAUGCAAGGAAUGAAGGCCCUCUCUUUGGGUGAUUAGCCUUUGCUUAUGCAAAGAGGAAUCUACAAAGGUAUAUAUUUCUCAACUCACUUUGAUUUGAGUUGAGUCUUGGUUCACCAAUCUACUAGGCUUUGAAUUUCAUGGUUAAUGUUUUGUUUUUAAGUGCAUGCAAGCAUGAUUCCGCCUUUAAUUGUUAAUUGCAUGCUUAUUGAUGUUGCUUAAAUGAACAUGUUUUCACAAAAUAUUCCUUCAAGGUUUUGGUGAGUAUCUCCUUAUAUGCACCUGUAUUUUGAGACUCGUGUAUGCAUUGCAUGUGCCGAAAGAGAACCGACGACAACAACUACCAUCUCUUAAUCAUGAAAACAUUAUGUGACAACUUUUUAAGUUGUACACAUGAUGUGAGAAUUACUUAACACACAAAUUAAACCCUCUUUUUGACAAUUGUAGUAUAGAUGUAAGUAGGGUAUCGUUCUAG